ACACAUGCAAGUCGAGGGGAAACGACAUCGAAAGCUUGCUUUUGAUGGGCGUCGACCGGCGCACGGGUGAGUAACGCGUAUCCAACCUGCCCACCACUUGGGGAUAACCUUGCGAAAGUAAGACUAAUACCCAAUGACGUCUCUAGAAGACAUCUGAAGGAGAUUAAAGAUUUAUCGGUGAUGGAUGGGGAUGCGUCUGAUUAGCUUGUUGGCGGGGUAACGGCCCACCAAGGCAACGAUCAGUAGGGGUUCUGAGAGGAAGGUCCCCCACAUUGGAACUGAGACACGGUCCAAACUCCUACGGGAGGCAGCAGUGAGGAAUAUUGGUCAAUGGACGAGAGUCUGAACCAGCCAAGUAGCGUGCAGGAUGACGGCCCUAUGGGUUGUAAACUGCUUUUAUAAGGGAAUAAAGUGAGUCUCGUGAGGCUUUUUGCAUGUACCUUAUGAAUAAGGACCGGCUAAUUCCGUGCCAGCAGCCGCGGUAAUACGGAAGGUCCGGGCGUUAUCCGGAUUUAUUGGGUUUAAAGGGAGCGUAGGCCGGAGAUUAAGCGUGUUGUGAAAUGUAGACGCUCAACGUCUGCACUGCAGCGCGAACUGGUUUCCUUGAGUACGCACAAAGUGGGCGGAAUUCGUGGUGUAGCGGUGAAAUGCUUAGAUAUCACGAAGAACUCCGAUUGCGAAGGCAGCUCACUGGAGCGCAACUGACGCUGAAGCUCGAAAGUGCGGGUAUCGAACAGGAUUAGAUACCCUGGUAGUCCGCACGGUAAACGAUGGAUGCCCGCUGUUGGUCUGAAUAGGUCAGCGGCCAAGCGAAAGCAUUAAGCAUCCCACCUGGGGAGUACGCCGGCAACGGUGAAACUCAAAGGAAUUGACGGGGG
rnacentral:rRNA from 1 species